rnacentral:rRNA from 1 species
UACGAAGGGGGCUAGCGUUGUUCGGAAUUACUGGGCGUAAAGCGCUCGUAGGCGGCUUGUCACGUCGGGUGUGAAAGCCCGGGGCUUAACCCCGGGUCUGCAUUCGAUACGGGCUAGCUAGAGUGUGGUAGGGGAGAUCGGAAUUCCUGGUGUAGCGGUGGAAUGCGCAGAUAUCAGGAGGAACACCGGUGGCGAAGGCGGGUCUCUGGGCAGUGGCUGACGCUGAGGAGCGAAAGCGUGGGGAGCGAACAGG